UACGUAGGGAGCGAGCGUUAUCCGGAAUUAUUGGGUGUAAAGGGUGCGUAGACGGGAAUACAAGUUAGUUGUGAAAUCCCUCGGCUUAACUGAGGAACUGCAACUAAGACUAUAUUUCUUGAGUGCAGGAGAGGUAAGUGGAAUUCCUAGUGUAGCGGUGAAAUGCGUAGAUAUUAGGAGGAACACCAGUGGCGAAGGCGACUUACUGGACUGUAACUGACGUUGAGGCACGAAAGUGUGGGGAGCAAACAGG
rnacentral:rRNA from 1 species